GCAAGUCGAACGGACUCAUAUUGAAACCUAGUGAUUUAUGAGUUAGUGGCGGACGGGUGAGUAACGCGUGGAUAACCUGCCGUAUACCGGGGGAUAACACUUAGAAAUAGGUGCUAAUACCGCAUAAGCGCACGGCUCCGCAUGGGGCAGUGUGAAAAACUCCGGUGGUGCAAGAUGGACCCGCGUCUGAUUAGCUUGUUGGCGGGGUAACGGCCCACCAAGGCGACGAUCAGUAGCCGGCCUGAGAGGGUGGAC
rnacentral:rRNA from 1 species